rnacentral:rRNA from 1 species
CAGAGGGUGCAAGCGUUGCUCGGAAUCAUUGGGCGUAAAGGGCAAGUAGGUGGUCUCAUUUGUCUAGGGUGAAAUCCUUGAGCUUAACUCAAGAAGUGCCCUAGAAACGGUGGGACUAGAGUUCUGGAGAGGGUCGUGGAAUUCCCGGUGUAGCGGUGAAAUGCGUAGAGAUCGGGAGGAACACCAGAGGCGAAGGCGGCGACCUGGACAGACACUGACACUCAACUGCGAAAGCGUGGGGAGCAAACAGGAUUAGAUACCCUGGUAGUCCACGCUGUAAACGAUGGGAACUAGGUUUGAUGGGUCUUGACCCCCGUCGAACCGGCGCUAACGCACUAAGUUCCCCGCCUGGGAAGUACGGUCGCAAGACUA